GGGGUUGAGAGACGGUGGGAGAGAGGAGAGGGGUAGACAGAGGGGUAGACAGAGGGGUAGACAGAGGGGUAGACAGAGGGGUAGACAGGAGAGGGGUAGACAGAGGGAGACAGGAGAGGGGUAGACAGAGGGGUAGACAGAGGGGUAGACAGAGGGGUAGACAGAGGGGUAGACAGAGGGGGAGACAGGAGAGGGGUAGACAGAGGGAGACAGGAGAGGGGUAGACAGAGGGAGACAGGAGAGGGGUAGACAGAGGGAGACAGGAGAGGGGUAGACAGAGGGAGACAGGAGAGGGGUAGACAGAGGGAGACAGGAGAGGGGUAGACAGGAGAGGGGUAGACAGAGGGAGGGGUAGACAGGAGAGAGGUAGACAGAGGGAGAGAGGAGACGGGUAGACAGGAGAGAGGUAGACAGAGGGAGAGAGGAGAGGGGUAGACAGGAGAGAGGUAGACAGAGGGAGACAGGAGAGGGGUAGACAGGAGAGGGGUAGACAGGAGAGGGGUAGACAGGAGAGGGGUAGACAGGAGAGGGGUAGACAGAGGGAGACAGGAGAGGGGUAGACAGAGGGAGACAGGAGAGGGGUAGACAGAGGGAGACAGGAGAGGGGUAGACAGAGGGAGAGAGGUAGACAGGAGAGAGGUAGACGGAGGGAGACAGGGGGAGACAGGAGAGGGGUAGACAGAGGGAGACAGGUGAGGGGUAGACAGAGGGAGACAGGUGAGGGGUAGACAGAGGGAGACAGGUGAGGGGUAGACAGAGGGAGACAGGAGAGAGGAGAGGGGUAGACAGAGGGAGAGAGGAGAGGGGUAGACAGAGGGAGACAGGAGAGAGGUAGACAGAGGGAGACAGGUAGACGGAGGGAGACAGGAGAGGGGUAGACGGAGGGAGACAGGAGAGGGGUAGACGGAGGGAGACAGGAGAGGGGUAGACAGAGGGAGACAGGAGAGAGGUAGACGGAGGGAGACAGGAGAGGGGUAGACAGAGGGAGACAGGAGAGGGGUAGACAGAGGGAGACAGGAGAGGGGUAGACGGAGGGAGACAGGAGAGGGGUAGACAGAGGGAGACAGGAGAGAGGUAGACAGGAGGGAGACAGGAGAGGGGUAGACAGAGGGAGACAGGAGAGAGGUAGACAGAGGGAGACAGGAGAGAGGGAGACAGGAGAGAGGGAGACAGGAGAGAGGGAGACAGGAGAGAGGGAGACAGGAGAGGGGUAGACAGGAGAGGGGUAGACAGGAGAGGGGUAGACAGGAGAGGGGUAGACAGGAGAGGGGUAGACAGGAGAGGGGUAGACAGAGGGAGACAGGAGAGGGGUAGACAGAGGGAGAGAGGUAGACAGAGGGAGAGAGGAGAGGGGUAGACAGAGGGAGACAGGAGAGGGGUAGACAGAGGGAGACAGGAGAGGGGUAGACAGAGGGAGACAGGAGAGGGGUAGACAGAGGGAGACAGGAGAGAGGUAGACAGAGGGAGACAGGAGAGAGGUAGACAGAGGGAGACAGGAGAGAGGUAGACAGGAGAGGGGUAGACAGGAGAGGGGUAGACAGGAGAGGGGUAGACAGGAGAGGGGUAGACAGGAGAGGGGUAGACAGGAGAGGGGUAGACAGGAGAGGGGUAGACAGGAGAGAGGUAGACAAAGGGAGACAGGAGAGGGGUAGACAGGAGAGGGGUAGACAGGAGAGAGGUAGACAGGAGAGAGGUAGACAGAGGGAGACAGGAGAGAGAUAGACAGAGGGAGACAGGAGAGAGGUAGACAGAGGGGGACAGGAGAGAGGUAGACAGAGGGGGACAGGAGAGAGGUAGACAGGAGAGAGGUAGACAGAGGGAGAGAGGAGAGGGGUAGACAGGAGAGGGGUAGACAGAGGGGGACAGGAGAGAGGUAGACAGAGGGAGAGAGGAGAGGGGUAGACAGGAGAGAGGUAGACAGAGGGAGACAGGAGAGAGGUAGACAGAGGGGGACAGGAGAGAGGUAGACAGGAGAGAGACCGUUCAAACCAUCAUUAAACCCUAAAUGACUUAUCAAAUGAUGCACACAGCAUAUCUUAACGGGCUUCAACUUCAACCAGAGCAUAUAAAGUAUUUAUUAAAGGGUGCGUCAAUAGUAGAGGUCGACCGAUUAUGAUUUCUCAACGCCGAUACCGAUUAUUGGAGGACCGAAAAAGCCGAUGCCGAUUAAUCGGCCGAUUCUUUUCACAUUUAUUUGUAAUAAUGACAAUUACAACAAUACUGAAUGAACACUUAUUUUAACUUAAUAUAAUACAUCAAUAAAAUCAAUUUAGCCUCAAAUAAAUAAUGAAACAUGAUCAAUUUGGUUUAAAUAAUGCAAAAACAAAGUGUUGGAGAAGAAAGUAAAAGUGCAAUAUGUGCCAUGUAAGAAAGAUAACGUUUCAGUUCCUUGUUCAGAACAUGAGAACAUAUGAA